rnacentral:rRNA from 1 species
GACGUAGGGGGCGAGCGUUGUCCGGAUUUAUUGGGCGUAAAGAGCUCGUAGGCGGUUGCGUAAGUCGGAUGUGAAAACUCAGGCUCAACCCCUGAGACGCCAUCCGAUACUGCGCUGACUAGAAUCCAGUAGGGGAGUGUGGAAUUCCUGGUGUAGCGGUGAAAUGCGUAGAUAUCUGGAGGAACACCGGUGGCGAAGGCGGCAUCCUGGACCGGUAUUGACGCUGAGGUGCGAAAGCGUGGGGGAGCAAACAGG